rnacentral:lncRNA from 1 species
ACACAGCAGAGUGUUGAUUGUUAUCAAAUUAGAUAACACAGUGUUGUGUUUAUUAUUCAGUGACAUCAUAGCUGUGCUAACCAAAUAAAAUAUACAUAAACAUUUUAUCUCUUUAGCAAUCAUCACAAUCUGUAGCCCAGGAAAGCAAAAGUUAUUAAUAUUAGAAAAAAUUUUUAAUUAUUUUUAUUUUUCCAUUAUAGUUGGUAGACAGAGUUCUGUCCGUUUUCUACUGUCCAGCAAAGUGACCCAGUCAUACACACAUAUAUACAUCCUUUUUCUCACAUUAUCCUCCAUCAUGCUCUUCAUAAGUGACUAGAUAUAGUUGCCAGUGCUAUACAGCAGGAUCUCAUUGCUUAUCCAUUCCAAAGGCAAUGGUUUGCAUUUAAAAUGAAAUUUUCAAGCACGAGAUAUGCAGAAUCUCACUACAGAUGAGCCUUAGCAGUUACACAUCUGCAGUAAAUUUGGAUGAUGAAGAAUACUAAUUUUGAACCCUAGUUAAGCCAAAUAUUCCCCCCCAAUUUUUGAUUUUUACCAAUAGUAGAUCUGUGUCUCUCUCUCUCGGGUACACACACCACAUCGACACAAUUGCUGUUGAUCACUGCUACUUCAUUUGAAAGUCACCAGUUAAAACAACUGCGGAGAUGUUUUUUAUCUUUUUGUAUAGAUAUCUACACAGUAUCCUAUGCUGUGCCUUUUUGCCCGCAAAGCUUAAGAGAUUUACUGUCUGGCUCUUUACUAAAUAAGUUUGCCAUUACCUGUCUAAAGUACAUAAAAAUACUUUCCUUCUAUGAAACAAUACUUUUAUGUCAUAAGACUAAUAUUUUGAUUACGUAGUUAAUAAAUAGUUCAUUCUACAGUUGUUUUUAAGACACAAGUUAGGUAUCGUUUCAUUAUUGAUUUACACAUUUGAAAAAUAUUUAACAUUUCUAGUCUCUUUACUGCCAUUCUUUCUAAUGCCUAAGCCCUCCCUUUCUCAACCCUUUUCCUUUCCCCUGAAGUAUAUCAUUUAGAACAAUUUUAAGGAGGAUUCAGCUUUGGCUGAUGUUUAUUUUGUCUUUAUUUCCAAUGUAUAAUUUUGCUGAGUAUACUCUGAAAGUUAUUUUCGUUUAGCAUGGGGAAAUAUUUCCUCCUGUCUCUGGGCUUCCACAGUGGUUGCUGAAAAUUCUGCUACUGGUGCUGUGUUCUUAGAUACUCAGAGGACUUCUAAACUUCAACAUACUCAUCACCAAUCUAGAGUGGGUACUAUAGCUAAUUUUAAUAAUAACAUAAUCCUUAGCAUAAAUGAUUUAAUAUUCUAAACUUCAACAUGCCUUGCCCUUCUUUUCAAAUUUUUCAAUAUUUUUUAAUCUGAGCUUUAGAGGAAUUUAAGAUUAUAGUGAAAUUUUCAAACACAGCAUUGCUGAAAGUAUAUCAAUUUUUUUACUCUGCAUAAUGAAGAUAACAUAUAAAUAUGUAACAGUGCUUUUCUUUUGUGCAUUCGCAUCCAUAGAUGAUUUAAUAUUACUAAAAUUAAAAUAUUGCCACCCAUUUUCAGAUGCAUUGUUCCAUUUUAUUCUGGCAGCAGUCCUACGUAUUAGACAGCUGUGGUAGACUAUAUUUUUCAAAAUUUGUUGCACAAAUAGCUCCCACUACUUGCUUGUCUUAUAUUGUGACUUUUACCCCUCCUUUUGAAGGUAGGUGUGAUUAUGACAGGUAUGUCCCUGGGAUCUCUGACCUUAGGUGUAAAAGUCCCACAGUAUCUGCCUGAGUUAUUUGGGUGCUCAUUGUAGACCCGAGUCUUUGUGAGGAAGUCCUGUGACCACAGGGAGAGGCUCCAUGUAAGUGUUCCAACUGAGAUUCCUGGUGACAUACCAACCAUCAGGCAGAGGGAGGCAGACUUCAGAUGCCUUCAGCCCAGGCCAUUGCGGCACCCCCAGGCAGUUACAUCCUGUGGAGCAGAAAUGGGCUGUUCUUAUCAAUCCCUGCCAAAAGAGCAAAAUAAAUCUCUAUUAUUUUAAGCCACUAUGUUUGAAGUACUUUGUUUCCCUGCCACAAAUGACUAGAUAGUUAUUAUUUUCAUCAAUUGAAACAAAAAUGGUAUGAGUCUUAGCAUAACAAGUGAAUUAGCUUUUCCAGUUCACAUAGCAACUGAGUAAAGAUAGAGGAUUACACGAACAUUUUUAAACUCUGCAACCUUUAUAUAUAUUAAUAUUUGUAAUUUCGCAUAGAACCCCAAUAAGAUACACACCACUGAGGAUCUUGAUAAUAAACAUGGGGCACAGGGAAGUUAAGGCAAAGCGUCCAAAUUUAUACAAGUUGUAAGUGGCCAUAGCCCAGAUGCAAACCUGGUAGCUUCUCUCUCAAAUAUGUUUUCUUAACCAUUCUAUAAUCAGACUUUUCGACUUCUUCCUCUUUCCACUAAUCCAUAUCACAUUGACAGCUCUAAAACCGUAAAAGUUUAAGACAGGAAUUGAGUUAUCUGCCCUAAUAUUUGGUUUAGCAGUCUAAAAAGAGCAGAGGCAGGUUCUCUCUGCUAAUAAUGACACAUACAUACAAACUAUGUGCACAUGUUCAGAGGGUUACAGACCUGCUUGAAGCCAAGAGAUUUAACUGUAGGUUGUAGGAAACUCACAGUCUCCUUUUUUACAUCGUAAGUGGACCUCCAGACCUCUAAUGUGAAGCAACAGAAGGAAAUUUACACCAUAAUGAUGCAAAAUGAAGAAAUUGAUGAAUUACUCUAAGCAGAGAUAAAAUGGAAAUCAACUUAGUUUUAUCAAGAUACAUUAGGCAGUUUCCCAAUCUGCAUAUUUAUUAUGAAUAACACUCUCCUUUUUCUACAAUAAGUUUAUCUUAGGAAUGGCUUUUGAUAAUGCUCCUGUCUAUGAUUCCUUCUUUGUAUUAAAAGAUUAGCAUCCAAUAUUAAUCUUAAGACUUAGACUUUUGGCCAAAGCAUUGAUGUUUAGUAGAAUCCAAAAAAUAAAUUGACGUCUAAAUUGUUUAAGUGCAAUGGGAAU